rnacentral:rRNA from 1 species
GUGCGAAAGCAGAACUUAGUGAUCCGACCAUCCAUAGUGGUAUGGUGGAAGCUCAACGGAUAAAAGCUACUCUAGGGAUAACAGGCUGAUCCAGUCCAAGAGUCCACAUCGACGACUGGGUUUGGCACCUCGAUGUCGGCUCAUCACAUCCUGGGGGUGAAGAAGCUCCCAAGGGUUAGGCUGUUCGCCUAUUAAAGUGGUACGCGAGCUGGGUUCAAAACGUCGUGAGACAGUUUGGUCCUUAUCUGCUGUGGGCGUUCGAUACUUGAGAGGGUUCUCCGAUAGUACGAGAGGACCUCGGAGAAUAGGGCUCUGGUGUACCGGUUGUGGUGUCAACUGCAUUGCCGGGUAGCUAAACCCUAGUUUGGAUAAGCGCUGAAGGCAUAUAAGCGCGAAGCCGUCCUCAAGAUUAGGUAUCGUUGCAGCGCAAGCUGCGAGAGGUUCGGGGGAGACUACCCCGCAUAUAGGGUACAGGUGUAAGGCCAGCAAUGGCUUCAGCCGAGUGCUACUAAUCAACC